rnacentral:rRNA from 1 species
GACGAACGCUGGCGGCGUGCUUAACACAUGCAAGUCGAACGGAAAGGCCCUGCUUGCGGGGUACUCGAGUGGCGAACGGGUGAGUAACACGCGGGUGAUCUGCCCUGCACUUCGGGAUAAGCCUGGGAAACUGGGUCUAAUACAGGAUAGGAGCCAUUUUUAGUGUGAUGGUUGGAAAGUUUUUUCGGUGUAGGAUGAGCUCGCGGCCUAUCUGCUUGUUGGUGGGGUAAUGGCCUACCAAGGCGGCGGCGGGUAGCCGGCCUGGGGGGGUGGACGGCCACAUUGGGACUGAGGUGAGGCCCAGGCUGCUACGGGAGGGAGCAGUGGGGAAUAUUGCACAAGGGGCGCAAGCCUGGUGCAGCGACGCCGCGUGGGGGAUGACAGGCUUCUGGUUGUAAACCCAUUUCGCUAGGGACGAAGCUUUUUGUGACGGUACCUAGUAAAGAAGCACCGGCUAACUACGUG